CACUUGUUCUUUAAAUGAGGACUAGUAUGAAUGGCACCACGAGGGUUACACUGUCUCCUUUUUUUAAUCAGUGAAACUGAUCUUCCCGUGAAGAAGCGGGAAUUUUUUUAUAAGACGAGAAGACCCUAUGGAGCUUUAAACAAAUUAACACUUGCUACCUAAAAUUAAUCUUCCAGAAGCAUAACAUAUAGCAUAGCAUUAUGAUUUAUAGUUUUCGAUUGGGGUGAUCACGGAGUAAAAAACAACCUCCAUGCCGAAAGGGCCUCCCCUGAGCAAAAAGCCACAACUUUAAGCACUAAAAAAUUAACGUUAAUUGACCCAAUAACUUGAUCAACGAACCAAGUUACCCUAGGGAUAACAGCGCAUCCACUUCAAGAGCUCCUAUCGACAAGKGGGUUUACGACCUCGAUGUUGGAUCAGGUAUCCC
rnacentral:rRNA from 1 species